rnacentral:tRNA from 1 species
GUCCUUUUAGUUUAUAUAGAAUAUAAUUUUGAAGAGAUUAAGGAUGUGUGGGGACG